UACGGGGGGGGCAAGCGUUGUUCGGAAUUACUGGGCGUAAAGGGCGCGUAGGCGGCCCGCUAAGUCGAACGUGAAAUCCCCGAGCUCAACUCGGGAACUGCGUCCGAUACUGGUGGGCUUGAAUCCGGGAGAGGGAUGCGGAAUUCCAGGUGUAGCGGUGAAAUGCGUAGAUAUCUGGAGGAACACCGGUGGCGAAGGCGGCAUCCUGGACCCGGCAUCGACGCUGAGGCGCGAAAGCUAGGGGAGCAAACGGG
rnacentral:rRNA from 1 species